GUGACGACCCCGCCGGGCACGAUGCGCUCAAAGGCGGCCAGGUCCUGCUUAGACACCGUGGAGAACGGCAAGCGCCGCACGGGGUAGCGCUCCCGGGUCAGCGGCACCUCGGGGGUCCCCGGGGCGGAGCAGCAGCCUCUGCGGGCCAGGGGGCCAACCGGCCGACCCCAAGAACCCGCGGCUCCCGGAGCACCCCGCAACAGCCACGCGGGCCACGCCAGAGGCCGACGGGGCAGCAUCGCCGCCGGGACGGAGACCUCGGGCUCCUCCUUGGUGGGGGGCCGGUACUCAGGGCCCGGAGGGGAAGGGCAGGGAGCCGCUGGCUGCGCGCCUGGAAGUGGCCAAGGAGAUGAGGUCUCAUGUGCUGCCCAGGCUGGUCUCGAACUCCUGGACUCAAGCGAUCCGCCCGCGUCGGCCUCCCAAAGCACUUGUUACUUCAGCUCACCCAAUUCCAUAGAACCCUAGCGGGUGCAGAGGAUGCCAAUCUCUGAGCAGAUGAGGGCAGAGAGCAGGAGACCACACUUGGCCCGAGGCAGGACUGCGGAGCUGUGCAAGAGGUGGAGGCUACGCCCGUGACAGCAGAUGGGUCCUGGUAGUCACACAGAAAACCGGCGAGCUGGAUUUGUCCUGGUGAUGAGGCUCUGGAGCAGCAGUUGCAAGGAGUCAUUCCUGUCCUCCUUAACCACAUCCCCAGAGGCCACUCACCUUCUUCCCAGGUGAAUCAUUCAUACAACCCUGGAAAGGAGACAUCCACCUGGCCCUUCCUACCUGGCUGGCCCUUGCUCUGCAGAUGAGUGUGGGAGUUUGCCCAUUGUCAAGGGUAACUGUUGCAAUUACACAUUCAGGAACUGGAAAGACGACCACAGAUGAGGUCUGUGGACCCCCUUACCACCUGACCUCCACACGCCCUCCCUUUGACUAGCAGGCCAGUGGCAUCUUGGACCCCUGGGAUUAGGAAUGAUUCAAAACCCAUAAAGAUUACCACCCAUACCAUCCCCUAAAAUAACUGAUUUUUCUGACCAGGCACGGUGGCUCACGCCCAUAAUACCAGCACUUUGGGAGGCUGAGGCAGGUGGAUCACCUGAGGUCAGGAGUUCGAUACCAACUGUGGGCGGCAAGCCACCCAGGUGCCGAGGCAAGAGACCGAAGACACGAGCUGUUCCAGUAUAAUAAAAUAAGAAUAGUUAUACCAGAUAUAGAUCUUAGAUAUGAUUAUAUAUGAAUAUCAUUAAUCAUUAGUUGGUAGCAAUUACUCUUUAUUCCAAUAUUAUAAUAAUCCUCGCUCUACAAUCAUAACCUAGGAAAAACCAGGCCAUACAGAGAUAGGAGCUGAGGGGACAUAGUGAGGAGUGACCAGAAGAGUGCGAGCCUUCUGUUAUGCCCAGACAGGGCCACCAGAGGGCUCCUUGGUCUAGCGGUGACGCCAGCGUCUGGGAAGACACCCGUUACCUAGCGGACCGUGGUCUAGCGGUAGCGAAAAGUGUCAAGAAACACCACCCGCUACUUAGCAGACCGGAAAAGGGAGUCUCCCUUUCCCCGGGGGAGUUUAGAGACGACUGUACUCCUCCACCUCUUGUGGAGGACCUGACAUCAGUCAGGCUCGCCCGCAGUUAUCCGGAGGCCUAACCGUCUCCCCGUGAUGCUGUGCUUCAGUGGUCACGCUCCUAGUCCGCCUUCAUGUUCCAUCCUGUACACCUGGCUCUGCCUUCUAGAUAGCAGUAGCAAAAUUAGUGAAAGUACUAAAAGUCUCUAAUAAGCAGAAAUAAUGGCGUAAGCUGUCUCUCUGUCUCCUCUCUCUCUCUGCCUCGGCUGCCAGGCAGGGAAGGGCCCCUGUCCAGUGGACACGUGACCCACAUGACCUUACCUAUCAUUGGAGAUGGCUCACUCUCCUUAUCCUGACCCUUUGUCUUGUAUCCAAUAAAUAUCAGUGCAGCCUGGCA
rnacentral:lncRNA from 10 species